UACGUAGGGGGCUAGCGUUGUCCGGAAUCAUUGGGCGUAAAGCGCGUGUAGGCGGUCCGGUAAGUCCGCUGUGAAAGUCGAGGGCUCAACCCUCGAAUGCCGGUGGAUACUGUCGGGCUAGAGUGCGGAAGAGGCGAGUGGAAUUCCUGGUGUAGCGGUGAAAUGCGCAGAUAUCGGGAGGAACACCAAUGGCGAAGGCAGCUCGCUGGGACGGUACUGACGCUGAGACGCGAAAGCGUGGGGAGCGAACAGG
rnacentral:rRNA from 1 species